AUUGAACGCUGGCGGCAGGCCUAACACAUGCAAGUCGAACGAGUGGCGGACGGGUGAGUAAUGUCUGGGAAACUGCCCGAUGGAGGGGGAUAACUACUGGAAACGGUAGCUAAUACCGCAUACCAUCAGAUGUGCCCAGAUGGGAUGAGCUAGUCGGUGGGGUAACGGCUCACCUAGGCGACGAUCCCUAGCUGGUCUGAGAGGAUGACCAGCCACACGGGAACGAGGACAGGGUCCAGACCCCUACGGGAGGCAGCAGUGGGGAAUAUUGCACAAGGGGCGCAAGCCUGAUGCAGCCAUGCCGCGUGUAUGAAGAAGGCCUUCGGGGUGUAAAGUACUUUCAGCGGGGAGGCGUUACCCGCAGAAGAAGCACCGGCUAACUCCGUGCCAGCCGCCGCGGUAAUAC
rnacentral:rRNA from 1 species